rnacentral:rRNA from 1 species
UACAGAGGGGGCAAGCGUUGUUCGGAAUUACUGGGCGUAAAGGGCGCGUAGGCGGCCUGCUAAGUCGAACGUGAAAUCCCUGGGCUUAACCCAGGAACUGCGUCCGAUACUGGCAGGCUUGAAUCCGGGGGAGGGAUGCGGAAUUCCAGGUGUAGCGGUGAAAUGCGUAGAUAUCUGGAGGAACACCGGUGGCGAAGGCGGCGUUCUGGACUGCAACUGACACUGAGGAACGAAAGCCAGGGGAGCAAACGGG